rnacentral:lncRNA from 1 species
UAUAUGAACCAACAUGGAGUUUCCAAAGACGAAGCAGUCAAAAUACUUCAAAAAAUGGCUACAGAUUGUUGGAAAGAAAUUAAUGAAGAAUGUAUGAGGCAGAGUCAAGUGUCAGUGGGUCACCUAAUGAGAAUAGUUAAUCUGGCACGUCUUACGGAUGUGAGUUACAAGUAUGGAGACGGUUACACUGAUUCCCAGCAAUUGAAACAAUUUGUUAAGGGAUUGUUCGUUGAUCCAAUUUCUAUUUGAACUCAAUAAUUCCUUUUUUCAUUUUGUACUUCAAUAAGUUAUAAAUGACCCGUGCACUAGCUGUGGUGAUUAUUGUAUUUAAAUUGCCUUUUAAAUUAAUAUAUGAAUCAAGAAUUUUAUAGAAAAAAUCUCAUAUUAUUAAUCUUUUUGCAAGAGCUAUUGUUCGAGAAAGGAAGAAAGGGGGGAAAAUAUUAUUUUUACUUUUUGAUGAUGAUGAUAUGUAUAUUCUAUUAUAUUCUAGUAUAUUCUCUUAUUGUCUAAUUAGGCACUAUCCUUUUAUUGUCUAAUUAGGCACUAAUUUAGUUUUCCUAUUUUAGUUAAAAAUAUGUAUUUAAAUAGACACUAGCAUUCUCAUUGUAUAUACACUUUAGAAUACAAAUUCAAUCUUAUUAUUCUCUUUUAGAUGGUAUCAGAGCCUCCCUUCCGUUUCUCAAUAUUUUGUCACCGAAUUUAACUUCCAUCACCACUGAAAGAUUCUUCUCUCUGUGACGAAUUCAAUGCCAUAAAAAUCAAUCCAAACAGACAUCAAACGCUCCGUUAUGGUCCGCCGAAAGUUUUUGUCGUAAUUUAAAACGUUACAAAGCUUGGAAGUUGAAGACAAUCAAAACGAAUCGUCAUUUUGACUGCUUAAUAUUCACUCUGCCGUUUAUUCAGCUGCCGCAAUUUUUUAAUUACUGGUUUGUAGCUGUCCGGUUCAAUCAAACCAGUUCACUUUGGUCAGUCUGAUUCAUCCAUUUUCUGAUCAAUUUUUUUUUUCAACUCGAAACAGUUUCUAAGGUUUUUGACUUUUCUGAAUAUUUUUUUGAGGUCUGUUUUGUCAAAAUAAGACUUUCUAUUUCCGGUUUGGUUCAGAUCUUAUUAUUUCCGCAUAUUUUUUUUGGUUUCGCGAUCUUAUUUCGAAACUCAAGCUUUUUGAUUCUCAUCCAUCUUGAGUUUGAGGGAGAUGAUAAUAUGUAUAUUCUAGUAUAUUCUCCUAUUGUCUAAUUAGAUACUAAUUAGACACUAAUUUAGUUUUCCUAUUUUAAUUAAAGAUGUCUAUAUAAAUAGACACUAGAACUCUUAUUAUAAUAUACAAUUUAAAAUAAAAAUUCAAUCUUAUUAUUCUUUUAUACAGAUAAAAUGAAAGAAAAAGGAGGAAAAUAAAUUAAACAGUAAGUUUUCUUUUUAAUGAAUAAUAAAUUGACUGUGUAUUAUCAAAUAACUACAGACUGAACAACAAAGAGGACACGUUGCAUCUUGCAUCGACUGCUAUAUGAACCAACAUGGAGUUUCCAAAGACGAAGCAGUCAAAAUACUUCAAAAAAUGGCUACAGAUUGUUGGAAAGAGAUUAAUGAAGAAUGUAUGAGACGGAGUCAAGUGUCAGUGGGUCACCUAAUGAGAAUAGUCAAUCUGGCACGUCUUACGGAUGUGAGUUACAAGUAUGGAGACGGUUACACUGAUUCCCAGCAAUUGAAACAAUUUGUUAAGGGAUUGUUCGUUGAUCCAAUUUCUAUUUGAAUUCUGUAAAUCCAAUGUACUUUAAACGUG